GGAGCAGGACAGGCCGUCGCCGCGGGGAAACCCGGGGAGGAAAGUCCGGACUCCGCAGGGCAGGACGCUGGGUAACGCCCAGGGGGAGCGAUCCCCGGAUAGCGCAACAGAAAGCAGACCGCCCGCCGCUCGCGGCGGGUAAGGGUGAAACGGUGGGGUAAGAGCCCACCAGUUGCCGCAGCGAUGCGGCAAGCUCGGUAUGCCCCGUCCGGAGCAAGACCAAAUAGGGAAGCGUUCGAGGCUGGCCCGGCCGAUGCUUCCGGGUAGGUUGCUGGAGGCGGCGGGCAACCGUCGUCCUAGAGGAAUGAUGGCCGCCGGUCCGCAAGGGCCGGUUACAAAAUCCGGCUUACGUCCGGCUCCCCAC
rnacentral:RNase_P_RNA from 1 species